rnacentral:lncRNA from 1 species
UCAGCAUCAAUAAUACAUACAUAUACACAAAAUAUGUGACAGAAUAGCAGAAGGUGUUGUAGUAAUACACAAACAUCAGUAGUAUACCGCUGUUCGAAAUUCAUAAAUCGAUUGAGAUAAGAUUGGAAUCGAAUUUUCCUUGGAGUUCGUUUUCUUUUAAAAUUGAUAUUUUACUUUUUUCUAUUGUAAUUAUUUAAGAUUUAUGAGUUUGAAUGUCCCUUUGGAAUCUUUCGCAUCUCUUUAACAUAAUA